rnacentral:rRNA from 1 species
AUACGUAGGGGGCGAGUGUUGUCCGGAAUGAUUGGGCGUAAAGGGCGCGUAGGCGGCCGCUUAAGUCUGGAGUGAAAGUCCUGUUUUCAAGAUGGGAAUUGCUUUGGAUACUGGGGGGCUUGAGUGCAGGAGAGGUUAUCGGAAUUCCCGGUGUAGCGGUGAAAUGCGUAGAGAUCGGGAGGAACACCAGUGGCGAAGGCGGGUAACUGGACUGCAACUGACGCUGAGGCGCGAAAGUGUGGGGAGCAAACAGGAUUAGAUACCCUGGUAGUCCACACUGUAAACGAUGAAUGCUAGGUGUAAGAGGUAUCGACCCCUUUUGUGCCGGAGUCAACACAAUAAGCAUUCCGCCUGGGGAGUACGGCCGCAAGGUUGAAACUCAAAUGAAUUGACGGGG